rnacentral:rRNA from 1 species
UGGGGAAUAUUGCACAAUGGGCGCAAGCCUGAUGCAGCAACGCCGCGUGAGGGAUGACGGCCUUCGGGUUGUAAACCUCUUUUAGCAGGGAAGAAGCGAAAGUGACGGUACCUGCAGAAAAAGCACCGGCUAACUACGUGCCAGCAGCCGCGGUAAUACGUAGGGUGCAAGCGUUGUCCGGAAUUAUUGGGCGUAAAGAGCUCGUAGGCGGUCUGUCGCGUCUGCUGUGAAAUCCCGAGGCUCAACCUCGGGCCUGCAGUGGGUACGGGCAGACUAGAGUGCGGUAGGGGAGAAUGGAACUCCUGGUGUAGCAGUGGAAUGCGCGGAUAUCAGGAAGAACACCGAUGGCGAAGGCAGUUCUCUGGGCCGUAACUGACGCUGAGGAGCGAAAGCGUGGGGAGCGAACAGGAUUAGAUACCCUGGUAGUCCGCGCCGUAAACGUUGGGCGCUAGAUGUGGGGCACCAUUCCACGGUUUCCGUGUCGCAGCUAACGCAUUAA